GAGCUUAAGAAAGGCCACUCAUGUUGUAUUAGAAAGUUUAUUUUCGAUGUGUUCUAAGUCUUCAUUCUUCUCUACACCGAGCUACAGACGCUGGGAGUUCACUCGGAAUCAUUCCCUAGGUGGAAGAGGCUUUGGUGAGAGCUACGAAAGCGUUCCUCAUCGAGCGGCGGACACUAGGAGCUACGGAAGCAUUCCCUAGGUCGAAGAGGCUUCGGUGAGAGCUAAAAAAGUGUUUCUCACUGAGUGGCAGACGCUAGGAGCUACAAAAGUGUUCCCUAGGUCGAGGAGGCUUCAAUGAGAGCUACGAAAGCAUUCCCACCGAGCGACGGACACUAGGAGCUACGAAAGCGUUCCCUAGGUCGAAAAGGCUUCAGUGAGAGCUACAAAAGCCUUCCUCACCGAGCAGCAGACGCUAAGAGCUACGAAAGUGUUUCCUAAGUCGAAAAGGCUUCGGUGAGAGUUACGAAAGCGUUCCUCAUAGAAAAGCGAAUGUUGGGUGCUAAAAAAGCGUUCCCUGGGUCUAAGAGGCUUUGGUGAGAACUACAAAAGUGUUCUCCACUGAGCGGCGGAAACUAGGAGCUACAAAAGCAGUCCCUAGGUCAAAGAGGCUUUAGUGAGAGCUACAAAAGUGUUCCUCACCGAGAAGUAAGCUUCAGUUAGCCAAGUGGUUUGUAUGCAAAGUCCUUUUAUCUACAUUGAAGAGAAAAUAAAAAUCCGAAUUUGAAUGGCCAGAAAAAUGUAGCCAAUCAAAUUAAUAUCAAAUUAG
rnacentral:lncRNA from 1 species